UUUCCGGGUGGGUCCUGCCGGAAGAUAUGUUCGGGUCCGAUUCAGCCAUGCUAGUUGUACGGGUUUAGACCCGUAGCAAAUAGCUCCGUAACACGUGGUCAAACUACCCUCUGGACCGGAAUACCCUCGGGAAACUGAGGCAAUUCCGGAUACUGCUUUCAUGUUGGAACACAGAAAGUCGGAAACGGUCCGCCGCCGGAGGACGUGACUGCGGCCGAUUAGGUAGACGGUGGGGUAACGGCCCACCGUGCCGAUAAUCGGUACGGGUUGUGAGAGCAAGAACCCGGAGACGGUAUCUGAGACAAGAUACCGGGCCCUACGGGGCGCAGCAGGCGCGAAACCUUUACACUGCACGCCAGUGCGAUAAGGGGACCCCGAGUGCGAGGGCAUACAGUCCUCGCUUUUCGUGACCGUAAGAAGGUCUCAGAAUAAGAGCUGGGCAAGACCGGUGCCAGCCGCCGCGGUAAUACCGGCAGCUCGAGUGAUAGCCACUAUUAUUGGGCCUAAAGCGUCCGUAGCCGGCCGAACAGGUCCGUCGGGAAAUCCACCCGCUCAACGGGUGGACGUCCGGCGGAAACCAGUCGGCUUGGGGCCGGGAGACCAGAGAGGUACGUCCGGGGUAGGAGUGAAAUCCCGUAAUCCUGGACGGACCGCCGGUAGCGAAAGCGUCUCUGGAGAACGGACCCGACGGUGAGGGACGAAAGCUUGGGUCUCGAACCGGAUUAGAUACCCGGGUAGUCCAAGCUGUAAACGAUGCUCGCUAGGUGUGGCGUUGGCUACGAGCCACGCUGUGCCUAGGGAAGCCGAGAAGCGACCGCCUGGGAAUACGUCCGCAGGAUGAAACUUAAAGGAAUUGGCGGGGGAGCACUACACCGGAGAGCGCUGUUUUAAUUGGA
rnacentral:rRNA from 1 species